rnacentral:rRNA from 1 species
GGUUAAGUGACUAAGCGUACACGGUGGAUGCCUAGGCAGUCAGAGGCGAUGAAGGACGUGCUAAUCUGCGAUAAGCGUCGGUGAGCUGAUAUGAAGCAUUAUUAGCCGGCGAUGUCCGAAUGGGGAAACCCAGUGCAAUCCGUUGCACUAUCGUUAAGUGAAUACAUAGCUUAACGAGGCGAACCAGGGGAACUGAAACAUCUAAGUACCCUGAGGAAAAGAAAUCAACCGAGAUUCCCCUAGUAGCGGCGAGCGAACGGGGAAGAGCCCAGAACCUGAAUCAGUUUGUGCAUUAGUGGAAGCGUCUGGAAAGUCGCGCGAUACAGGGUGAUAGCCCCGUACACGAAGGUGCACAGCUGUGAGUUCGAUGAGUAGGGCGGGACACGUGUUAUCCUGUCUGAAUAUGGGGGGACCAUCCUCCAAGGCUAAAUACUCCUGACUGACCGAUAGUGAACCAGUACCGUGAGGGAAAGGCGAAAAGAACCCCGGCGAGGGGAGUGAAAUAGAACCUGAAACCGUGUACGUACAAGCAGUGGGAGCAUCCUUCGGGGUGUGACUGCGUACCUUUUGUAUAAUGGGUCAGCGACUUAUAUUUUGUAGCAAGGUUAACCGAAUAGGGGAGCCGUAGGGAAACCGAGUCUUAACUGGGCGUCUAGUUGCAAGGUAUAGACCCGAAACCCGGUGAUCUAGCCAUGGGCAGGUUGAAGGUUGGGUAACACUAACUGGAGGACCGAACCGACUAAUGUUGAAAAAUUAGCGGAUGACUUGUGGCUGGGGGUGAAAGGCCAAUCAAACCGGGAGAUAGCUGGUUCUCCCCGAAAGCUAUUUAGGUAGCGCCUCGUGAACUCAUCUUCGGGGGUAGAGCACUGUUUCGGCUAGGGGGUCAUCCCGACUUACCAACCCGAUGCAAACUACGAAUACCGAAGAAUGUUAUCACGGGAGACACACGGCGGGUGCUAACGUCCGUCGUGAAGAGGGAAACAACCCAGACCGCCAGCUAAGGUCCCAAAGUCAUGGUUAAGUGGGAAACGAUGUGGGAAGGCAUAGACAGCCAGGAUGUUGGCUUAGAAGCAGCCAUCAUUUAAAGAAAGCGUAAUAGCUCACUGGUCGAGUCGGCCUGCGCGGAAGAUGUAACGGGGCUAAACCAUGCACCGAAGCUGCGGCAGCGACGCUUAGGCGUUGUUGGGUAGGGGAGCGUUCUGUAAGCCUGCGAAGGUGGCCUGUGAGGGCUGCUGGAGGUAUCAGAAGUGCGAAUGCUGACAUAAGUAACGAUAAAGCGGGUGAAAAGCCCGCUCGCCGGAAGACCAAGGGUUCCUGUCCAACGUUAAUCGGGGCAGGGUAAGUCGACCCCUAAGGCGAGGCUGAAAAGCGUAGUCGAUGGGAAACAGGUUAAUAUUCCUGUACUUGGUGUUAUUGCGAAGGGGGGACGGAGAAGGCUAGACCGGCCGGGCGACGGUUGUCCCGGUUUAAGCGUGUAGGUGGGGUGACUUGGCAAAUCCGGUUACCUUUAACACUGAGGCGUGAUGACGAGGCACUACGGUGCUGAAGUGGUUAAUGCCCUGCUUCCAGGAAAAGCCUCUAAGCUCCAGAUAACACUGAAUCGUACCCCAAACCGACACAGGUGGUCAGGUAGAGAAUACCAAGGCGCUUGAGAGAACUCGGGUGAAGGAACUAGGCAAAAUGGUGCCGUAACUUCGGGAGAAGGCACGCUGGCACGUAGGUGAAGUCCCUCGCGGAUGGAGCCGAAGCCAGUCGAAGAUACCAGCUGGCUGCAACUGUUUAAUAAAAACACAGCACUCUGCAAACACGAAAGUGGACGUAUAGGGUGUGACGCCUGCCCGGUGCUGGAAGGUUAAUUGAUGGGGUCAGCCGCAAGGCGAAGCUCUUGAUCGAAGCCCCAGUAAACGGCGGCCGUAACUAUAACGGUCCUAAGGUAGCGAAAUUCCUUGUCGGGUAAGUUCCGACCUGCACGAAUGGCGUAAUGAUGGCCAGGCUGUCUCCACCCGAGACUCAGUGAAAUUGAACUCGCUGUGAAGAUGCAGUGUACCCGCGGCAAGACGGAAAGACCCCGUGAACCUUUACUAUAGCUUGACACUGAACAUUGAACCUUGAUGUGUAGGAUAGGUGGGAGGCUUUGAAGUGUGGACGCCAGUCUGCAUGGAGCCGACCUUGAAAUACCACCCUUUAAUGUUUGAUGUUCUAACCUGGUCCCGUGAUCCGGGAUAGGGACAGUGUCUGGUGGGUAGUUUGACUGGGGCGGUCUCCUCCCAAAGAGUAACGGAGGAGCACGAAGGUUAGCUAAUCCUGGUCGGACAUCAGGAGGUUAGUGCAAAGGCAUAAGCUAGCUUGACUGCGAGAGUGACGGCUCGAGCAGGUGCGAAAGCAGGUCUUAGUGAUCCGGUGGUUCUGAAUGGAAGGGCCAUCGCUCAACGGAUAAAAGGUACUCCGGGGAUAACAGGCUGAUACCGCCCAAGAGUUCAUAUCGACGGCGGUGUUUGGCACCUCGAUGUCGGCUCAUCACAUCCUGGGGCUGAAGUAGGUCCCAAGGGUAUGGCUGUUCGCCAUUUAAAGUGGUACGCGAGCUGGGUUUAGAACGUCGUGAGACAGUUCGGUCCCUAUCUGCCGUGGGCGUAGGAAGAUUGAGAGGGGCUGCUCCUAGUACGAGAGGACCGGAGUGGACGCACCGCUGGUGUUCGGGUUGUGAUGCCAAUUGCAUUGCCCGGUAGCUACGUGCGGAAAAGAUAAGCGCUGAAAGCAUCUAAGCGCGAAACUUGCCUCGAGAUGAGUCUUCCCUUGGACCUUGAGUCCACUAAAGGAACGUUUAAGACUAAGACGUUGAUAGGCUGGGUGUGUAAGCGUAGCGAUACGUUGAGCUAACCAGUACUAAUGAUCCGUGAGACUUAACCUU